GGUUUUGACGAACAUUCUAUCAUGAGUUGACGAAGAACUACAUAUUUUCAAUACAUGGUCAGACAACGUUAGCCAUAUUGCCGACAAUUUGAGAAUCAAAGGCUGGCUGCUUCAUCUUUAAUGUCGGUUUCGGAUUAACGUCUAGCAAUCUACGAAGAGGAUCUUUCACUUCCAAAUAUCAAAACCCAUGUGACAACUUCAACAAUUGCCCAAUUUUUCCACAUUCCAAAUUCAUUGUCCAUUUUUUUCCGUUUCAAUAAAAUAUUUGGUCACCCUUGUG
ensembl:lincRNA linc-38 ncRNA